rnacentral:rRNA from 1 species
AUACGGAGGGUGCAAGCGUUAAGCGGAAUUACUGGGCGUAAAGCGUGCGUAGGUGGUUUGUUAAGUCAGAUGUGAAAGCCCCGGGCUCAACCUGGGAACUGCAUUUGAAACUGGCAUACUAGAGUAUAGGAGAGGAAAGUGGAAUUUCAGGUGUAGCGGUGAAAUGCGUAGAUAUCUGAAGGAACAUCAAUGGCGAAGGCAGCUUUCUGGACUAAUACUGACACUGAGGUACGAAAGCGUGGGUAGCAAACAGGAUUAGAAACCCGAGUAGUCC